GAUCCUGGCUCAGAUGAACGCUGGCGGCGUGCUUAACACAUGCAAGUCGCGCGUGAAAGGACUUCGGUCCGAGUAAAGCGGCGCACGGGUGAGUAACGCGUGGAUGAUCUACCCAUGAGUUAGGAAUAACGGCUGGAAACGGUCGCUAAUACCAAAUACGCUCCGAUUUCAACUUCGGGGGAAAGGUGGCCUCUGCUUGCAAGCUACUGCUCAUGGAUGAGUCCGCGUCCCAUUAGCUAGUUGGUGGGGUAACGGCCCACCAAGGCGACGAUGGGUAGCCGGUCUGAGAGGAUGACCGGCCACACUGGGACUGGAACACGGCCCAGACUCCUACGGGAGGCAGCAGUGGGGAAUAUUGCGCAAUGGGCGAAAGCCUGACGCAGCGACGCCGCGUGAGGGAUGAAGGUCCUCGGAUCGUAAACCUCUGUCAGGAGGGAAGAACCGCCACGGUGCUAAUCAGCCGUGGUCUGACGGUACCUCCAAAGGAAGCACCGGCUAACUCCGUGCCAGCCGCUGC
rnacentral:rRNA from 1 species